rnacentral:lncRNA from 1 species
CGGGGGGGGUGGGGGGCGCCGAAGUCUGUAUGGAAUUACCUGCGCCCGCGGCGGAGCUGGCAGCGCUGGAUGGAUGGGCGCCGCGUCCGCGGCACUCGCGGCCAGCUGAGCCCCAGGAGUAAACACGGGGCUUCUCCGGCCGAGUGCGCAGUGUGGUGACCGGCACUCGCCUCGCUGACUGAUCGCACCGGAGGAAUAUUUCGGGAGACUCCUGUGGGAAGCAGCCACGGAAAGACAGAAGAUGAAAGCUCCUAUUCCCAACUUGAUUCUCUUGUAUGCUACUCUGACUCAGAGCUUGAAGGUUGUAACCAAAAGGGGAUCAGAGGAAUCCCGUGGGAUUGGAGCCAGUUCAGGAGAACAAUGACAAAUGGUGCACUGACU